UGAAAAUACACUAAAUACGCUGUCAGUUAUCACGCAUGUUUUUCUCACCGUGCAUUACUGACAGCAUCGAUGUUUUUGUUAUUUCUGUCAAACCUGUGUGUCAAUCAUUCGGUUGAUUUUAAUAUCGCUUAUAUUUUCGGCGCUACUGGCUCAUUCUCUGGUUUAGGUAGUGAUCCACACCGAUCAGUUUGCUGUUCCAGUGGUUGGGCCGUAGUCUGUGCCAUCCGGAAACUGGUGGAAGACCGGCGCCAAUGGUGUUGGUUAGGACUUGAUCCGUGAUCCUAAUCAGGAAACUGCUGGGGAUGUCGUCCUCUGUUCUUUCGGUAAAACUGAUAGUCCUACCACAUAGCGCUGCCGUUGCUCGAUAUCGAAACUGUAAAAUUCCAGCUUCUGCGCAUGCAACUACCGCCGGCGUGGAGGGCAGGAGUAUCUCGUUCAGGUCGUCGUAUUUGAUGCAAAUUAUUUCUAGGACAUAAAAAAGUCGGCUGCUUACUAUGGCGUCCUAUGGCGACCGCUUUCAUCGAUCCAGCGGCCGGAUUCCUCAUCCAUUUGGCGGGAUCUGUUAUUUCCGAUCAUCACUCUAAAGGUUAAGAAUUUGAGCAUGUUGCUAGUGGACGAGAGUCGUUGUAGGACUCCUGUGGUGCAAGCCCUAUUAUAAGCUAUGGCUAAAUCUAGCGUUGCGAUUUCAAUAUGCAUUCCAUCUGCAAUUGCAUCUUCAAUGAUCUGUCCCAGCGCCCCAAGGUACGUUCCGGUUCCUUGACCCGGACUAAAAGCAUGUUGCCGAUAGUCAGUUUUUGCUCCGUGUUGAUGAAUUUCAUCAAGCGUCUGUUUACCAUCCUUUCAAGGAUUUUGACCAUACAGUUUGUUAGAGCAACGGGUCUAUACUUUCGCACGUCGUUUGAGGAGCCGGUACACUUGGGAAUCAGAACUACCAAGCUAUAUUUCCAACUAUCGAUGGUAUCGAUGAAUCGCAACGUUUUGGAUUGCAGUCGCAUAGUUUUUAUGUUUGUUAAGGAAUUUAGUAGAGUAGCCGUCGAAAGCCGACAUAUCAUGGAAAUAGGUAACUAAAGCAUCCGCAAUCAUCCGGAUCAUUGGACGUUGUACCGUCUAUGUUUAAGGCAAUUCCAGAUUUUCUUCUUUUCCCUUGGAGGCUAUUAACUUUUAUGCGCUCCAAGAUUUUUCCUUGGUCUCUUUAAUGAUUUUUCGACAAUCAAGUUGAGCCUCUCUAUACGCGGUAGAUAUGCUAAUUACGUCAGGAUGGUAGUUUUCUCCUUUUUUGGUACAGAGUUGUACCGAAAGGCUAUAGGAUUACUUCAAAAAUGAGCUUUUGAUAGAAGGCCCGGAGACCCAUAGUGUUACAUACCGAUCGAUUCAGCUCUACGAACCGAGGUGAUGUCUGUUUGUAUGUAUGAUGUGUGUGUAUGUGUACAAAUUUUGUAAACACAUUUUUUGGAAUUUAGCAUUACCCGAUUUACUCGCAACAAACUGCAUUCGACGUAAUGUGGUCCCAUUGUUUGCUAUUGAAAAUUGGCCCGCUCGGACAUUGCAUUUCGGAAUUAUUGAAAAAUCAUUGUUUUUUCCCAAGGGUCCUCCCUUGGAAAAAAAAACAUCAAAAUCAAAUUACUUGUCAUAAGACGAGUUUGUACCAUCCCAUUUAAUUCCACCACUUGAUUGUAGGUCAAGUUACAUACAUACAAGAUACGUAUUUCGACCUCAACAGUAAGGUCGUCUGCAGUGUCUCGUAGUUGACUCGACUCGAGCUUUUUGGCUCAAAAUAAUUUUCUUAAUAAUUCAAAAUCAUAGUUUUUUCUUCAAAAAUGUUGGCAAUCUGGAGGUGCUAAUUCGUAAGUUUUUCGGCGACGAAACCCAUCCGGUCCACGAUGCCAGAAAGAGUGGUUAAUGUGGUGUAUACAUGUACCGGAUCUCGAUGCGAAUAAAGCCCGGUAAGUGCCAUUGCUGCAAUGGAACCGGAACAUAAACGAUGCUUACACACCAGCGUUUUACCUGUUGGUAGUGGCACGGUACCUGAAUGCAUAUCGAUUAUCGGUGACAGGUGACCAGUAGUCAAGAACAGACGGUACAGCAAAAGAGAGCAAGCGUACCAGUUCCUGGUUCCUACAGAUGUUGAGGAUGGACGAACGAAACAAAUCAGCGUGGGAAGCAAGGAACUGUUCAUUACAUUCAGGUGUAACGGAACUGGCGUUCUAACCAAAUUCUCAUCCGUGUCAGCAGUUUUAUCCACAACUACAUACCCAGCAAAAGCUCGGCAAAAAUUGUAGGACGAAAAUAUUUUACCGUACACGAAUAAUACAUCUGCGGGUUUACGGCACUGAAUAUCGGCCGAAGAGCUGAAACUGGUAACGGUGGAAACUGGUUGUAGAAAGAUAUAUACACUCAGUGCUUAAUGUAACAGCAAUUAGUCGAGUUGUGAAGGAUUUAAUUUAUUAUUCGGCAGAAUAGCAAAUGAUAAAUUUAAAUAUGUAAAACUAAAAAUAAAUUCUGAUAGAAUUAAAACUUAAAUAAAUGUUAAGUAUCAAUUGAAUAAAAAUGUAUUCGAACAAGACUCAAGUAAGAUUAGCACUAAAUUUAAAUUUCAUAGAAAUCAUAGGUUAUAUUUAUUUGAAAUAAAAAUAAACUAAAUUCCAAUUUAAUAAGUUAAACAAAGACUAAAACUUGAAAUGGAUUAUAAUUUAAAUGAAACUAAAUAGAAAUUUACUAACAAUCAAAUUGAAAUUGUAUCUGUAUUUAAAUAAAAAUAAAACAUUGAAUGGAACAUACAUUUAAAUCGAAUAAUUAUUGCACCAAAGUUAAAUCUAAACUAAAUUGAAAUUAUUAUGCUUUCAAAAUAAAUCUAGAAAAAGUUAGGCUAUAUUAAAACGGGAGGUAAAUAAAUAAAUUGUGAAUUAUUAAAAUCUGAAUUGAGAUUAGAAAAUAUUUUAUAUCUAUUGAAAUUGAAAAUAAUGAAAUGUGUUGAAUUAAAACGAAAAUAAUGUAAAUUUUAUCAAAAUUAAAUAAAAUUGAAUUAUAGUCAGAUGAGAAACAGACAAUUCUUGGAAAGUUGUUAACACAGUGAUCAAGAAAAUAUUUACUAAUAUGAAAUAAUUUGCUUCCAUGGGUACCGCGUCAUAUAUGUUCAAUAGUACAUCGACUUAUGGGGGGGUUCACUGUAAAAUGUAUUAAAUUCAUAUUAAAAUUGUUCUCAAAUCAAGUCAAUCUAAUUUUAAUUCAAAUGAAAUAAAAAAUUAAUAGAUAAAAUGGAGUUAAAACAAAACCAAAUUUAAAUAGAACUUUUAUUGAAGAACUAAAAAGUUAAAAUACAAAAGAGGAUUUUUAUUAAGAUAUUUUAUUUUAAAAGUAAUUGAAUGUGUCAAAUUUAAUUAAGAGUAAUUCAAAGUAAUAGGGACCCUCCUUAGCCGUGCGGUAAGACGCGCGGCUACAAAGCAAGACGAUGCUGAGGGUGGCUGGGUUCGAUUCCCGGUGCCGGUCUAGGCAAUUUUCGGAUUGGAAAUUGUCUCGACUUCCCUGGGCAUAAAAGUAUCAUCGUGCUAGCCUUAUGAAUUACGGAUCCAAAAAUGGUAACCUGGCUUAGAAACCUCGCAGUUAACUGUGGAAGUGCUUAAUGAACACUAAGCUGCAAGGCGGCUCUGUCCCAGUGUGGGGAUGUAAUGCCAAUAAGAAGAAGAAUUCAAAGUAAUUUGGAAUUUAUUUCAUAUUAGGAUUUUUUUCAAAUUGAAUUUCAAUUAAACUUUGAAAAUAAAUUAAAAUUAAAUUCAAAUCGACUUAAAAUAAAAUUGAAGGUAAAUUAUAAUAAAUAAAACUAGAUGAAAACUAAUUUGGUUUUGAACCAAAUUAACAAUGCUUCUGGCCUGCUUUUCAACGUAGUAUACGGAAGUAUUCUAUUAACGUUUCCUCAGUUAUUAAUUAAAAGCUUUCUAUACCCGCCUUUGCAUGAGUAUGUAUGUUAUAUGGCAAGUACAAUGGAUACACUAUGCCCAGAGAGUCGAUAAUCUUUUCCAUCCGAAAACAUCCUAGACUGGACCGAGAAUCCUACGUGUUUCUCGCAAGGAUAACUGGAGACCCUAAAUGAAACUUAUUCAAAAAAUAAAUUUAAUGUGACUAAUGAAAAUAUAAAAAUGUAGGUCUAAAUUUAAUUAAGAUUUAAUUGAUAUUACAAUUGGGAUUGAAUUUGAACUGAACUGAAUGAUAAAGAUAAUUAAUAAGAUUGAAGUUCUCAUCUAGCAUUUUCUUCUUCAUUAUUGGCAUAACAUCCCUCACUGAGACAUUGCCGCCUCGCAGCUUAGUGUUCAUCAAGGAGCUUUCACAGUUAUGAACUGCGAGGAUUCAAGGUCAUGUAACCAUUUUUGCAGUUGUAUAUAUCAUGAUACUUUUAUGCCCAGAGAUAAUAGAAAUUAAAAUUGAACUGAAGUAAAUUAAAACUCAAUUGAAAUUAAAUAGGGAAAAAUAAUAAACUAAACUUAUAUACUAAAUAUUUAAAUGAUGUUAGAAUAGAAAUAAAUUGGUAUAAAA